rnacentral:rRNA from 2 species
ACGGAAGGCAGCAGUGGGGAAUAUUGCACAAUGGGCGAAAGCCUGAUGCAGCAACGCCGCGUGAGGGAAGACGGUUUUCGGAUUGUAAACCUUUGUCCUUGGUGAAGAUAAUGACGGUAGCCGAGGAGGAAGCCACGGCUAACUACGUGCCAGCAGCCGCGGUAAUACGUAGGUGGCAAGCGUUGUCCGGAAUUACUGGGUGUAAAGGGAGCGCAGGCGGGAAAGCAAGUCAGUGGUGAAAUGCAUGGGCUUAACCCAUGAACUGCCAUUGAAACUGUUUUUCUUGAGUGGAUCAGAGGCAAGCGGAAUUCCGAGUGUAGCGGUGAAAUGCGUAGAUAUUCGGAGGAACACCAGUGGCGAAGGCGGCUUGCUGGGGUCUAACUGACGCUGAGGCUCGAAAGUGUGGGGAGCAAACAGGAUUAGAUACCCUGGUA